CGGAAAGAUCCCGUUGAAGAGAUAAUGAAUGACUUUGUGAAGUCUUAACAGCAGUUUCGGUUUAUCCCGCAGGUUUGCAGAUGAUGGCGGAUCAGCGGCAGUCAGUAUUAUCAGCUGCUCCGAUGAAACCAGCAAACCCCCUACAGAAUGUCUACUCAUACAGGUUUCCAUACUACAGCACAUGCAGGCACAGUAAGAACCCACGCAAACCCUCCAGUUCUCUAAUAUCCUCCUGGGAGAUGCCGAACAUCCAGUCUCCAUGAUUUCAGACGCCAUCAUCUUCUCCAUUACUGCUCACAGCACCGUGCUAGCGCUUCUGGUCAGGAGUUCCAGCAGAUGGAGGAAGCGGUUCUGCUCUGUCAUCUCGGCUGAGAUGUUUGCCCAAGAUUUGCCGCGCUUAUAACUCUUCAUUAUUAAUCAGCUCUUGGAUAAUAUAUUUUCGUUCAUUCUCCUUCCACGCCAUACCCCCUACGGCCCGCGCAUCAUAAUUCACACGGCUUGAUGCUUUUCCGACCGUGCCCAGGAGCGCGAUGAGCUACCUGCAGAUUAAAGGCUUAUGGGAGGAUGUAGUCCCAAACCCCAUCAGCAUUCAACUUUUCUGUCUCUUUUUCCUUUUUUGAAAUCAACACAGUUGA